GAUGAACGCUGACAGAAUGCUUAACGCAUGCAAGUCUUUGGCGAAGCUGUGCUUGCACCGCCUAGCCAAGGCGGACGGGUGAGUAACGCGUAAGGAACUUGCCCUGCAGUCAGGGAUAACAGACGGAAACGACUGAUAAGACCUGGUAAAGUCAGGCGGACUCAUGUCCAGCCUGAUGAAAAGAGAUGCUGCAGGAGAGCCUUGCGUCCUAUUAGCUUGUUGGUGGGGUAACGGCCCACCAAGGCGAUGAUAGGUAGCCGGCCUGAGAGGGUGGACGGCCACAAGGGGACUGAGAUACGGCCCUUACUCCUACGGGAGGCAGCAGUGGGGAAUAUUUGACAAUGGGGGCAACCCUGAUCCAGCAAUUCUGUGUGCACGAUGAAGGUUUUCGGAUUGUAAAGUGCUUUCAGCAGGGAAGAAAAAAAUGACGGUACCUGCAGAAGAAGCGACGGCUAAAUACGUG
rnacentral:rRNA from 1 species